rnacentral:rRNA from 1 species
AGAGCGAACGCUGGCGGCAGGCCUAAUACAUGCAAGUCGAACGGAUCCUUCGGGAUUAGUGGCGGACGGGUGAGUAACACGUGGGAACGUACCCUUUGGUUCGGAACAACUCAGGGAAACUUGAGCUAAUACCGAAUGUGCCCUUCGGGGGAAAGAUUUAUCGCCAUUGGAGCGGCCCGCGUCUGAUUAGCUAGUUGGUAGGGUAAAGGCCUACCAAGGCUACGAUCAGUAGCUGGUCUGAGAGGAUGAUCAGCCACACUGGGACUGAGACACGGCCCAGACUCCUACGGGAGGCAGCAGUAGGGAAUCUUGCGCAAUGGGCGAAAGCCUGACGCAGCCAUGCCGCGUGAAUGAUGAAGGUCUUAGGAUUGUAAAAUUCUUUCAGCGGGGACGAUAAUGACGGUACCCGCGAGAAGAAGCCCCGGCUAACUUCGCGCCAGCAGCCGC